rnacentral:lncRNA from 1 species
UAGAAGGUGGGAAGGAACAGUGGAGAAUUGUAGUUACAAGAGACGUGUAAACAGACAGGCAAUUUUUUAAAGGUGUGCUUUCGCCGGGCGUGGUGACACACGCCUUUAAUCCCAGCACUUGGGAGGCAGAGGCAGGCAGAUUUCUGAGUUCAAGGCCAGCCUCGUCUACAGAGUUCCAGGAAAACCAGGGCUACACAGAGAAACCCUGUCUCGAAAAACCAAAACCAAAACAAACAAAAAAAAAAAGGUGUGCUUUCACCUUGGGAUAGUACGCAACCAAAAGAAUGCUGAGAUGAGAGACAGGACACAGUUAAAGUUAAAUGAUGAACUAUGGACUGUGGAACUAAAGCUGUAUUUUUACUAGGUUACAAAUCUAAAGAGGUUCGAGACUUUGAGAAAACCUUAAAACACAUAAGUGCUUGUACUUUCAAAAUGUUAUCUUUAGCCUACUCCGCAUGGUCAAAACCAUCCUGAAUAACCUAUUCCAGAAGUCAAAAGGAUGAACCCGUGUUGAACAUGCAUGUUUGUUUCCUUUCAAAAGGAUGAGCACAUGUUGAAUGCAUAUGUUUGGUUACUUUUAGAAUAUUUUUUGUUCAUUUGAAUAACAAAAUAAUGUAUAUACAAAAAUGCAAGCUUGUCAUUCUUUUGCAUUUUAUUUCUAGUGAUAUUACUGUUUGCCUUUGGGGGAAAAGUGAAUUUUAAU